rnacentral:tRNA from 1 species
CCGACCUUAGCUCAGUUGGUAGAGCGGAGGACUGUAGUGGAUGCAGAUUAAAUCCUUAGGUUCACUGGUUCGAAUCCGGUAGGUCGGA